UUAAAUUGAAGAGUUUGAUCAUGGCUCAGAUUGAACGCUGGCGGCAGGCCUAACACAUGCAAGUCGAACGGUAACACAGAGGAGC
rnacentral:rRNA from 1 species